UGCAGUCGAGCGGACAGAUGGGAGCUUGCUCCCUGAUGUUAGCGGCGGACGGGUGAGUAACACGUGGGUAACCUGCCUGUAAGACUGGGAUAACUCCGGGAAACCGGGGCUAAUACCGGAUGCUUGUUUGAACCGCAUGGUUCAAACAUAAAAGGUGGCUUCGGCUACCACUUACAGAUGGACCCGCGGCGCAUUAGCUAGUUGGUGAGGUAACGGCUCACCAAGGCGACGAUGCGUAGCCGACCUGAGAGGGUGAUCGGCCACACUGGGACUGAGACACGGCCCAGACUCCUACGGGAGGCAGCAGUAGGGAAUCUUCCGCAAUGGACGAAAGUCUGACGGAGCAACGCCGCGUGAGUGAUGAAGGUUUUCGGAUCGUAAAGCUCUGUUGUUAGGGAAGAACAAGUGCCGUUCAAAUAGGGCGGCACCUUGACGGUACCUAACCAGAAAGCCACGGCUAACUACGUGCCAGCAGCCGCGGUAAUACGUAGGUGGCAAGCGUUGUCCGGAAUUAUUGGGCGUAAAGGGCUCGCAGGCGGUUUCUUAAGUCUGAUGUGAAAGCCCCCGGCUCAACCGGGGAGGGUCAUUGGAAACUGGGGAACUUGAGUGCAGAAGAGGAGAGUGGAAUUCCACGUGUAGCGGUGAAAUGCGUAGAGAUGUGGAGGAACACCAGUGGCGAAGGCGACUCUCUGGUCUGUAACUGACGCUGAGGAGCGAAAGCGUGGGGAGCGAACAGGAUUAGAUACCCUGGUAGUCCACGCCGUAAACGAUGAGUGCUAAGUGUUAGGGGGUUUCCGCCCCUUAGUGCUGCAGCUAACGCAUUAAGCACUCCGCCUGGGGAGUACGGUCGCAAGACUGAAACUCAAAGGAAUUGACGGGGGGCCCGCACAAGCG
rnacentral:rRNA from 1 species